CUUGAAUUCAUCUGGCACUGUUGACCAACACAGAGAGCCAAAACACACACGGAAUUCAAAAUCAGAAAUAAUCCCAAGUUUGAGUCAUCCAAUGUGCUUGUCUACAUUGAUUGCACUCACCAGAUAAAAGUCCAAUGCACUCUGUGGGGUGAAACAGCCUCUGUCUCAGGUUGGGAGUUGCUGCCAUGGAGACCACAAGAGUGGAGAUUUUCUGACACACAGAAAGGAAUGGAUUACAGCUCCUUCUUAUGUAAAUUUCCAUGGAGGGGAAAAAAGAUUAAAAGGAAAAUAAUUCUGCUUUAGUCGUUUUCCUUUAAGGUGAUAAGAUCCUUUGAUUCCAUCGUGGAGAAGAAGGCAACAGCUGUUUGUCACAAAUGCUAUUUGAUGCACCUGCUAUUAUUACUCUUAUUACCAUUUUCCAGUGGGAAGCUGCUUCUUGGGCAGGGUGGAUUUCCAUCUGCGUCUCCUUUUCGGUGUUGAAAGCUGGUCCAAAAUGGCUGCUAAAAUUCCUGCCACUACAUCUGGAUCCCAGGCAGCAGGAAGGAGAAAUGGAAGAAGACCUGUCCUGUCCCUGAGACAAUGCCAUUCAGCAUGUUCCAUACAAUAUCUCUGCUUAUUGAUCACUGGCCAGAACUUGACAGAGAUGAACAAUGAGGCUUUUUUGUUCUGCUUUUUAUGUUCUGCUACAGACAAAAAGAAAAAAAAGCGUAUGUAUUUAUAGUCUACUUGAUUUUAAUAAAGGAUUGAGUGCAGCCUAAGGCAUGUGCAUGUUAUCCUGUAGGUAACAGGGGCCACAAAUGGGUUGUGGCUAAUGGAACAUGGCUGAAGGGUCUGUGCCAGUUCUGAGCCUCAGGAGGCACUGCUGUUUCUUCUUGCCCUUCUGGGACUUUUGCCAUGGGAAGAACCCACAGUCUUGGGGUCUUUUUCAGCCUGGGUUCCAGAAUGAGAUGCAUUCUGAACAUGAAGGUGGGGCAGAUCUGAACUUGACCCAUCACCUGAAGCCAAACUGUCCAAACCACCUCUCAAAGCUAUGAGCAACAAAUAAAUGCUUAUUUUGUGCGCCUCAGAGAUUUGUAAUUGCUAUACAGCAUCAUUGUAGCAGAAGCCUGUGAAUGCCCCUGGUAACUAGAUUCCUCUCUAUUCUCUCAUACUGUGAGUGCUAGACAGGAGAUGUGGCCAGUCCUGCCUGUUCAGUAUACCAGGUGACCCCAGAGAUAGUGGGAGGGAAAUGCCACACAGAAAUGUCAUUGCACAAAAGAGAAAUGCAGUGCUCAUGUGCAUGUGAGAGCUGGCACUCAGGUGAGCACCAGGGAUGGUUUAGCUCAGGGACUCUCAAACUCAGCACUACUGACAUUGUGCUGUGGGGGUCUCUCUGGUGCAUGGAAGUUAAGAAGUGUCCCCGGCCUCCACCCACUAGAUACCAGCGGCACCUCCUCCCUCCCAUGCUGUGACAAUCAAAAAUGUCUCUAGACAUUGCCAAAUAUACCCCGUGUGGCAAAAUCACUCCCAACUGAGAACCACAGAUUUAGCUGAUCUGGCUUCAGUUCUUCUGAUAAGACCAGAAAAUGACAACUAAUGACACCACUUAUUGAGCAUGUACUGAAUUCCAGGCACUUGGUUAGGCAUUUUCAGGAAUUAAUUGAAUUUGGAAGGUUUAUGAAUGAGGAAGCUCAGGACAGAGAGAAGUAACUUGCUCCAGUAACAUGUUUAGUCCACGGUGGAGCUAAGGCCAAGCUGUCUGACUCCAGGAUUCGUGCUCUUGACCAUACUCUCCAUGCUGCCUCCCCCAGAAAUUAACCCCUUGAGCGAGUCAGGAAAAGAUGCGUCGACACAAGUGUUAUUCUCGUGAAUAUCACUUGAAUUCUGUAUGUGUGUCUUAUAGUAGCAAAAACAGUGUGGGCUUGGUCAGGUGCGAUUCUCGCUACCCUUACAUAGCUGUGGAAUAACCUCGAUAGUCACCGUCGUACUUCCCUGCCUACCUGAGUGGGGCUACACAGACUGCAGGAUGUAUCCAGCCUCUUCAGGCUUUUUCUGGACAACUCAGUCCUACUUAGUGAAAACGUGUUUCGAGAUCCUGCGCCUCUUUGAUGAUAGAGAUAAAAAGCCUUAAAAAGGUUUCUACCCAUUAGUCUAGCAAUUCCACUUCUUGGAAUUUAUCCUUAGGAAGGAAUCAAAUAUGUCAAAUCAAACAAAGAGUUAUGCAUAGGAUAUUUGAUUUUAGUGUGAUUUGCAAGAGCAAACAUUGAAUACGAUAUUGGGCAAAUAAAUUACAGCAUGUCCAGAUGGUGGUAUGUUCGACUUGUAGAUGAAUAUUUUCUUCCAAGGGAAAAACUUCAUGAUAUAUUAUUCUUUGAGAAAAAAAAAGAUUUGAAUACCAUGUAGCAUAUGAUCCCAAUUUUGGAAAUUGUGUAUAUAUUACACCAUCAUAUUGAACAAGCAGGGACUUGUAGGAUGCAACAGAAACGAAUCGUAUUUUUGGUCUCCCACUGUCUUGUUAAGCUUGUUCUGCAAUAUUUAUUCUGCUCCUUAAUAAAAGUGGGGCAAGUUCUACGAAGUCUUUUGUCGCCCUUAUCUAAGAAAACAUGAUCCAGUUACUUCUUCCACAAAAACCCAGUCUCCAUUGGUAAUUAAUAUGCCCAUUCCAGGAUAAGGACCCAAAUCCUCCCAUCGACAUUGCAAAUGAAAAUUUCCUCCCUCUCCCAGCUUUGCUGCAUUAGGCUGGCACCUGCAGUGAGAAGGGGUUGUGGGGCUGUGCGCCUCUAUUUGCUUCACCUGGUGCUUCCAUUUUCCCUCCAUACUCCCCCCACCCCUUGGCUUCUCCAGGAUUGGCCAGGGCAAGAGGAGAAGAGAGGAGGGAAGCGGGUGGGAAGAGACUCACUCCGCUGGUGGUGUUCCAGCCAUCUGGGGUUGACAGAUGACUCACCUCAUGGGUUCCUUCAUGGGUAAUUUGCAGCAACCGCCUCUUAUCUGCCUUUGCCUGACUGGGAGCAUGCAUCUCUUCUGACCGUUCCUCCACUGCUUCUCCCUCACCCCCUAGCAUCUGGCGCCGCACCUCCCAGGCCAGUUCUGCUCCAUGGGAAACUCACACAUGCUUUGCCCUGACAG
rnacentral:lncRNA from 1 species